UACGGGAGGCAGCAGUGGGGAAUCUUAGACAAUGGGCGCAAGCCUGAUCUAGCCAUGCCGCGUGAGUGAUGAAGGCCCUAGGGUCGUAAAGCUCUUUCGCCUGUGAAGAUAAUGACUGUAGCAGGUAAAGAAACCCCGGCUAACUCCGUGCCAGCAGCCGCGGUAAU
rnacentral:rRNA from 1 species